rnacentral:pre_miRNA from 1 species
UUUGUACUCAGCAAAGAUGCUGCAUUUGCGUAGCAGAAUCUUUGCUGGUGCAAGCU